UACGAAGGGGGCUAGCGUUGCUCGGAAUCACUGGGCGUAAAGCGCACGUAGGCGGCUUUUUAAGUCAGGGGUGAAAUCCUGGAGCUCAACUCCAGAACUGCCUUUGAUACUGAGAAGCUUGAGUUCGGGAGAGGUGAGUGGAACUGCGAGUGUAGAGGUGAAAUUCGUAGAUAUUGGGAAGAACACCAGUGGCGAAGGCGGCUCACUGGCUCGUAACUGACGCUCAGGCGCGACAGCGUGGGGAUCAAACAGG
rnacentral:rRNA from 1 species